ACCGCAUUAGUUCAGUGGUUAGAACUUUCGGCUGUGGCCCGGAGGACGCGAGUUCGAUUCUCGCAUGCGGUC
rnacentral:tRNA from 1 species